CAGCCCGCCCGAGGAAACGCGACGGGCGCUCGCUUUUGACUCGGGCCGGAGGAGGAGAAGAACGCACCGACCUGGCUGCGCAACUCCCGCCGAAGCAAAACAACAACAAUCAAAGUCGUGGCAAAGAAAAAGGCGGGGCUUCCUCCCUCCCCUCCUGCCGCCGCCGCCGCCGCCAGCUGGAGAGAGACCGCCCCUCCCAUCGAUCGCCGGCGGCGCGACGACAGCCCCGAUUAGCGGAAAGACGCGGCCGCGGGUUUCUCUUUAAUGGACGAAAGAAGAGCGGAGGGGAUUCAAAGCGUGUUUGGGUUCAGGCUUGGUGGCGGCCAGACGAAUGCAACCCCUUCCAAGGUGAUUGCAUCCACCCAAGGAAGACAUCCCAGCCUUCAAAGAUCUGUCAGGAAAUUCAUAUUCUUCUACUGCAUCCAGUAAUAAGUGCCAGAGAAAUCAGAAGACCCAGGCAAUUCAAGUGGGUUUAAAGAUUUAUUGCAAGUUUAAGCUCUCCACAAGAAUCUGAACUACUAAAGGGCAAAGCAAAUUGGUGGUAGAUAAGAGUCAAAGGAAUUCAAGGUGGGUUGGACUUCGAUCUCUUGUGGGCAUGAAGGGACUCAUGACCGAAGAGGCUCUUGACCCCUGUCUCAAGGUCAGCCUAGUUAUCUCCUACACCCAGCUUUAUACUUGGGCCAUGCAUUUCCCCGAUCCCUCCAGAAAGAUUUGGUAUUCCUUCUAAUGUAACAGUACAACUUUGGAUGAAUAAUAAUGGGGCAUUGUGGGAGGAUAGAUCUCUGCUUUUGGAAAUGAAAAAAAAAAACCACACCUUAUUUUGUAGCCUCUUGAACAUACAGUACAACUGCACCAUGUACUCAUAAGGAGCUGAGCUUGACUCAAGGGACAGUGUGUCAAAUCACAUUGCUAAAAGUUCAGGUUUCAGCAAUGUGAUUUGAGGUUGUAAGACAUUUUAUUUGAACCUUAAAAAUCUUACUAGAUUUGGCAAUUUUGUGAGAGUUGAACCAUUUUAAAGAACAAGGGAAUUAUUAAGUCCAUGAGGACUUAAGUCUAUGAAGAAGAAAGGGGAUAGCUAACUAUUUAGAACAAUGGUUCACACCAAUGGUCCAUAGGCCCCUGGGGGUGGGGGGGGCUGCAAUGUCAUCACAGAGGGUCUGCGAAGGCUUGAAGAAAUGUUAUGAUUUAAAUCUUGAGUUAAGUCUCGGUGGUCUGUGGCCAUAAUCCGUGAAGGGGUCCAUGGUGAAGAAAAGGUUGAAAACUACAGAUUUAGAGAAUCAAAAUGAGAAGGCAGCUGAAUUUCACGUAUACAUUCCAAAUUAUCUAAAUCUGCUUUCUUUAACUUACUUUAGAAAUGACAAGACUUUGUAUUUCAACAUACUCAGAGUUUUUUUAGUUUACCUGAAGAGCUUCACCAUAUAGACUGUUUCACUGGUUAUACUUCAUUUAAGUUUCCCAAGAUACCAUUUGUUUUGGGGUUGUUUUUGUUUUGUUUUGUUUUGUUUACUUUUUUCUCAUUUUUCCUCUUUUUGCUUCUCGGGUUUUUAAGCUAGCCUAGUACAUGCUAUCAACUUGAGCAGGGAGGCAAUAUAUUGGAAGACUCUAUCAAACUUCUGCUUUUUCUCUGUUUAUCCCAUCCUUGGAAAUCUACUGCCUUAUAUUUGGACUCUUUUUUCCCUGCUUACUCAGCAGGAAGCCACCAAAAAUGGGCUUUCAGCUAAGAACAGGUUUGCAGCAAUAGCGAUUGAGGGGAGGAUUUUUAUUCCUUUCUGCUGAUCAUUCAAUCCAUCAAAGCAUUCAGCACUUCUUGCCAUCCUUUUCCUUCUACCAACAAACUCCUGUUAACUUUCUAGGUUUACUUUGUCAGUAAGAACAAUGGGUUUACUCUCUAGCAAGUAUGUUUGAAGUUAUAACUGAAGUUUGAAUUCAUUUGGCAAAUAUCUGACACAGCCUACAUUCAAUAGGAGAAGUUGUUUUUCAGUAGCAACUAGCUCAAACAAAAUAUAUUAAGGAAAUCAGGUUGUUAACACUGCAGAUGUGUGCCAUUUUAACAUAUAAAGCCACCUUAAAUGAAUAUACUCAUUAGCUGAUUUACAAUCAUUUCUCAAGUCUAAGUCAAGAUUGAAUGCCAGCAAAGACAAUAGCUUCAUUAGCAGUUGGACUGAAAGAUAGUGGAGUGCUGUAUAAGGGCCCCUGCAUCAUUUCCGCUAUUCUCUAGUCUUCAUAUGCACUGGAAGAUGUUGUUUUAUAUGAAAAAGAACCACAAAUAACAAAUCAGAGGAGAGAUCCAGAUUAUUUUCUUACACUGAAUUUACAGAAAGGAUUUGCUGGACUUACUAUAUUAGAACUACAAAGCGGACUUGAUGAGGAUGAAGAAAAAAGAAGAGAGUAUGAGAAGGCAGAUCCUAGAACUUCCUUUGAGGAUUUUAAAGACUGCGGAAAAAAGAAUAUAAAAUUGAUUUAUUGAUCAAGGACAAAAUAAUCGGUUACUUUGAUUGAUCUUUAAUGGUUUUUGAUUAGGACUGGAUGCCGAUUCACGGUUAUUUCUGGUAUCAUUUAAUUGUUGUUUGAGUAGGAUUGAAUUUUAAUUAUUUGAAGAGAGGAAAUGGGGAGAUUUGUUUAAAGGAAAAAAGAAGGAUUCGGACUGGAUUUAAUAAAUAAUUUGUAAUAUUUAUGUUGUUUCUAAUAACUUUUACUGGACUUUUGUUGUUUAAUAGGGAGAGACAGAGAUGGGUAUAUAAAAACGGGUUAGAUAGGGAAUGAAGGGAAGUCUGAUUUUAUUUUAAGAGGUAGUGAUAACUUCUUAAUUUUGAUUAUGCUUGCUUGGGAUUAAGAGGUUCUUUUUUCUUUUUAAAUGUAUUUAAUAUAUAUAUAUUUUUAAUGUAUUCUUUGGUUGUAUAAGUUUUACUUGUAUGGUAUAAUAUUUAAUAAAAUUGUUGGAAAAAAGUAA